UGGACUCUACGCCUCACCCCCAGAUCUGCAUCGGAAUGCAGAAAAGAUCUUAAAAAAAAAAGUUUUGAAUUCCUCAAUGAUUUUUCUUCUGGAAAGGCGGCUUAGGAUAAUUAUUUCAGCUUUAUUGAGGGCAGAUUAGUUGAAGUCUGGAAGCUGCGUUUCAAUACGCGUUGUACAUGGGGCCGACAAUGUCG
rfam:Sarcophilus harrisii ctg7180001634810, whole genome shotgun sequence.